CAACAUAUGUAUCCUUUCUUUUGAAGUAAACAUGAAGUGCAGCUAGCCCAUCUGCAGCAAGUCGAGGUUCAGCUAUAGGUAGCAGUAUCCUAGUCGUUGAGUUUAUCUGAACCCACGGUUGCGGUCAUAACUGAACCUUUUUAAACAAUUAUACUUGGACGUCUCAAGAUAAACAAGGUGAACUUCGAUCAGAUGUAGUCACGCGUCGGGGAUGAGCAAAAGGUUGGGAUCUAGUUGGGGGUUAAUUUCAUUAUUCCAGCAGCAGAGUGUUUCCAUCAACUGCACACAGAAGAACGUUGCAUCCAAGAGACAUCCGGAGAGCUUGGAACUCUUCAGUUUCUGUUCACGGAACAACAGAGUCAAAUUUUCAGCCGCAUGACAGGGCAGAAAAAAUUAUGAUGAAGGUCAACAUCAUCAGCUAAGAAGGUCAUCUCUUGGUCUAAGGUGAAGGUGGUAAGGGGAUGGACAGACAUGCAUCAUGCACCUGACUUUUUCAACAUCUGACCUUCAUGAUCGUCCCUGUGACAAUGACUUUUCAGUUUUCUUCAUAAAAUGGAGCUCUUUUCCCCCUUUUUGAUUCCAACUUUGAACUUUUGUUAAAAUGUGUACAUAAUCAUGAACGUCAACAUCUCUAAAUUGCAGCAGUAACAACCACUUGAGCUUCUGUGCAAAACUUCUUUGGACUACAACCUAGAAAAAAACAUACCUUUUUGUUUGGGGUAUAUACACAAACAGCUUAUGUGCACGGGGUAGCUCAAUGCGGAGACUGCCAG
rnacentral:lncRNA from 1 species